CAACAAUAAAGUUAUGUGGUGAAGUUAGCGUUCAGUCAUAAAUUUUCUUCGGAAAGAAAUUAACGUGUAUUUCUAUAAAUCGCGCUUGUCGAGAAAUAAUAAAAAAUAAACAAAUAAUUGAAGAUAUAUUCAAUUAAAAAGCCAUUUUUUUGUAAAACAAGUUUAUUAUAAAUUCAAACAAACGACGCAUGUGGAUUACGCGCUGCAUGGGUGGAGCAGGCAUAAGGAUUGCAAUUCGAAUUCAAAGUGUUCCUGACGAAAGAAUUAAAGACGCAGAAAAAAUCGAAGCUAACUGCAAGAAAGAGGGUUUAAAACGUAGUGCAAACAAAUUGGAGAUGAAGUGAAAAUAAAAUAAAAAAGAAGCGAAUCAAAUAAAAAGUGUGAAGCAGCAAAUUGGAAGCUGAAAGAAAAAAGUGCAUUUGCAUUCUUAUUGCAUUUUUUUUGUGAGUUAUUCAUCAUAUUUUGUUGUUGAGUUGAGAAAUGAAAGCCUUUGUUGCACAUUCCCGUCCGUUCACUGCUUACAGAAUUUAUUCAAGCAAUUCCGUGCAUAUAUAAAAAAAGAAAAAUAAUUCAAAAUUAAUUUCCGGCGCAUAAAAAUCUUUUCAAAGCUGGAUUAUAAUAAAUCCGACGAUAUUGGAUCUCUACAGGAAAACAAUUCUGGAGUGACCAACAAAAUGGUGAAACGAGUUAAUGCCGAGCUAAAGUGGUGCUCCUAUCAAUCAAAUUAAAGCAAAUUAUCACAAGUCAUGAUUUGAAAUACGACAAAAACAAAAACAUGUUUAAAGCUCGCCAUAAACCUCAGUCUAUUCUCGGCACGUAAAAAGAUGUGUGGAUGUGUGUGGAUAACCACUUGCUAAGUGCGCCAAAUUGAUUUUUAUCGAAUUACGUGUCAAUGCGAUUAAACAAAUUGCAGUUCGGUUCAGUCACAUCAUAAAUGUGUACAUAUGUAUGUAAAUAAGUAUGCAUGCACACAGUAAAUUAUCGUAGAUGCAAAAACCAAUUGGAUUGCCAUUGCGCACAAAUUUAUAAAGCAAUCCUCAGUCGCUUAUCAGCCUUGUGAUGGAGUACUGUGUGCAAUAAAGCAAUUCGAGUGUCUGAUUCUGCUUCUUGUCAUUCGUGCCAUUGUCCGAUUGUGUAACAGCUGAGGUCUAUGAGCGAUUUGAGAAACUGCGUCUUUGACUUUUUAUUUACUGAACAAAAAAGCGUACGAAUUUGAAUGCUUACUAUAAAUAUAUCUGUGAAUUGCGAGCUAA